AAACCAUCCAUACCUAUCCUGCUAGCUCUGACUAUUUAUCACUACUUUUGGUCCAAAAGGUCCUGGAAAAUGGUAAAUUCAGGGUACAACUCAGAUAACAGUGGAGAAGCAAUUUCAUCUUGGGAACUAUGAAGCAGAAUUGACUCUUAGAUGAUGAAGAUGCCUAGCUUUUAAAGAGAACUUUGUCUGCAGUUCAGUCUUUGUUAUCCUAUCAGUCAUUUCCUAUGUACACUCAAUGGAAGCCUCUCUAAGGGAAUUAAAGUGGACUAUAAAU
rnacentral:lncRNA from 1 species